GCAGAUGUAGCUCAGUGGCAGAGCAUGCACGCCGUCGUCACUCCUCGUCCGGGCUCCGGGCCGACGCCGACGGUUAUCAUCCAAAUGACAAGGCCGCUGGUUCGAAUCCAGCCAUCUGCG
rnacentral:tRNA from 1 species